rnacentral:snoRNA from 1 species
AUGCACAAACUCUCCCGGGCUUAUCUGAUUUUUAGAUUUUGAAGAAAAAUGCCCCAAUGUUGGUGCUAAAACCAUGCUGUUUUACGUGUUGCGGAACAGCCUUUCUUUUCCACUGGCUCUUCUGUGUCAAAUCGGCGGCUACAUCC